UUUCCUUAGGUGAACCUGCGGAAGGAUCAUUAAAGUUAUAGUCCCCCGGCCCCUCCGGGCUGGGGUCUUCUAUACCACCCUUUGUUUAUUACACCUUUGUUGCUUUGGCAGGCCUGCCCUCGGGCUGCUGGCUCCGGCCGGCUCGUGCCUGCCAGAGGACCUAAACUCUGUUUGUAUAUGAAGUCUGAGUACUAUAUAAUAGUUAAAACUUACAACAACGGAUCUCUUGGUUCUG
rnacentral:misc_RNA from 1 species